rnacentral:lncRNA from 1 species
AAAUAGGCAAUACUUGUGACACUAGUCCUCAUCUUUGCACAACGCCUGAUCUGUCCCUCAGGGCAUGGGAGAUCGAUGGCGUGUCAACUGCAAGCAAACCAAAAGAAAAACUCAUAAAAGUAGCCAUUGUUGAGUAGUGAAGAACCAGGGGAAAAGCCAGGAGAGACCUCAGGGACGAUAGAGGAAAGGGAAACCGAGGAUAAAAGGAAGCAUGUGGGGAGGGAAGCUUCCAAGGCCUAGGAUUCUACGUUUCUCAAAGUAAAUAUGCUGGUCCAUCACCACGUCCACUCUUAAGGGACAAGGGUCCAAUGCCAUGAGACCCAAUUCAACAUCAUCGUCAUUCUCUCAUGUGCGUCU